UACCGGGUGGCGACCGGCGCACGGGUGCGUAACGCGUAUGCAACCUACCUUUAACAGGGGCAUAACACUGAGAAAUUGGUACUAAUUCCCCAUAACAUUCGAGAAGGCAUCUUCUUGGGUUAAAAACUCCGGUGGUUAAAGAUGGGCAUGCGUUGUAUUAGCUAGUUGGUGAGGUAACGGCUCACCAAGGCAACGAUACAUAGGGGGACUGAGAGGUUAACCCCCCACAUUGGUACUGAGACACGGACCAA
rnacentral:rRNA from 1 species